AUUGAACGCUGGCGGCAGGCCUAACACAUGCAAGUCGAACGGUAGCACAGAGAGCUUGCUCUCGGGUGACGAGUGGCGGACGGGUGAGUAACGUCUGGGAAACUGCCCGAUGGAGGGGGAUAACUACUGGAAACGGUAGCUAAUACCGCAUAACGUCGCAAGACCAAAGGGGGGGACCUUCGGGCCCCACACCAUCGGAUGUGCCCAGAUGGGAUUAGCUAGUAGGUGGGGUAAUGGCUCACCUAGGCGACGAUCCCUAGCUGGUCUGAGAGGAUGACCAGCCACACUGGAACUGAGACACGGUCCAGACUCCUACGGGAGGCAGCAGUGGGGAAUAUUGCACAAUGGGCGCAAGCCUGAUGCAGCCAUGCCGCGUGUAUGAAGAAGGCCUUCGGGUUGUAAAGUACUUUCAGCGGGGAGGAAGGCGGUGAAGUUAAUAACUUCACCGAUUGACGUUACCCGCAGAAGAAGCACCGGCUAACUCCGUGCCAGCCGCCGCCGUAA
rnacentral:rRNA from 1 species